AUGGUCGACAUCCACGAGUGCGCCGUGGUGCUCGUGCAGGAGCCCGACCAUGCGGCGGCGGCGGCGGCCAACCCGGACCCGUCCUCGAUCUCCGCCAGCGCCUGGCGGCCCUUCGAGGAUGCCGCGGCCGCCGUCGUGGGCCGGAUCCAGCCGUCUGUCUCCUCCGAGGACCGCCGCGCCGCCGUCGUGCACUACGUCCAGCGCCUCAUCAGGUGCAGCGUCGGCUGCGAGGUGUUUCCAUUUGGAUCUGUUCCACUGAAAACAUAUCUUCCUGAUGGAGAUAUCGACUUGACUGCAUUUGGUUCCACAAGCUCUGAUGAAAACCUAGCAAAUGAGGUUCGCGCUGUUCUGGAAUCAGAAGAACUGAGGAAAGAUGCUGAGUUUGAAGUGAAGGAUGUCCAGUAUAUCCAUGCUGAGGUGAAGCUGGUCAAAUGCCUUGUGCAAAAUAUUGUUGUAGACAUUUCGUUCAAUCAGAUUGGUGGACUCUGUACGCUUUGUUUUCUUGAGCAGGUUGAUGAAAGAUUUGGAAAAAAACACCUUUUCAAGAAAAGCAUAAUGCUGAUAAAAGCCUGGUGUUAUUAUGAAAGCCGCAUUCUCGGUGCCCACCAUGGUUUAAUUUCUACCUACGCCUUGGAGAUAUUGGUGCUAUAUAUUUUCCAUCUUUUCCACAAGUCUUUGGAUGGUCCAUUAGCUGUCCUCUAUAGAUUUCUGGACUAUUAUAGCAAAUUUGACUGGGAUAACAAGGGUAUAAGCUUGUAUGGUCCUGUACCAUUGUCUUCCUUACCUGAGCUAGUUUCCGAAGCACCAGACACUCAUGAUGUUGAUUUCCUUAAGCGGGAGGAGUUUCUCAAAGAAUGUGCACAAAGGUUUACUGUCCCCCCUAGGAACUUUGAGAGAAAUACUCGACUGUUCUCAAGAAAAUUUCUCAACAUAGUGGAUCCACUGAAGCAGAACAACAAUCUUGGGCGUAGUGUCAGCAAAGGUAACUUCUAUCGGAUACGCAGUGCAUUUGAUCUUGGUGCCCGGAAGCUUGGGAAGAUCCUUCAAGUGCCUAUCAAUUCUGCUGUGCCUGAAGUGAAUCAGUUUUUUAGGAACACAUUGAAGCGAAAUCACACUAUGGUAAGGCCAGAUGUGCAGGACAUUGCACUGGACUUCAAUAUUGAAAGAGACAACAAAGGUUUAGACCGUAAUUCUUUUGGUGAUCUAUCUGAUCAGUUCAACAGCAUCAGUAUUUCAGAUGUCAAUAACCAUGGGUCUCUGAAGGAAAAAGAACAAAAUCCUAUGGUUGAGCAUGAGGAAAUGAAGUCUGUUUCAAAUCCUGUAACAAGUUCUAUUAGUACGAGGAAUAACAGUGACUUCUGUGAGACUGCACCAUCAACUAGUGAAACCUUGUCACCUGGGAAAGCUCUCUAUGCACCACAUCUCUUGUAUGAGCCAGGAAAUGGGAAGGUUGGUGCCAAUCAUGAUAUAAACUUGGCACACCAUGGGAUGACAUCGAAAGGGUACCCAGGAACUAAGUAUCGCAAUGAGAAUUCACAUCCAGUGGAUAACUGCUUACCACCAGCUAAGAACUCAGAUAGCAAUGGGGCACAUAUUAAAGAGGCAGGUGGUGAUGGAGGUGCAAUCAAUGACAUUUUAUCAGAUCUUGCUGGAGAUCACGGAACAAAUUUGUAUAAUCUUUCCUAUGCACAAGGGUGCCAACAAGAUUACCCAGUAAACCAUGAUUACCCGGUUAAUCAAGUUUACUAUCAAAUGCCUGCUCCACCACCUGCACAAUAUCAGAACAAUCGCUCACCAAAUGGCCAUAGCAGAAAAAAUGGUUAUGGCUAUGCUGGUACAAGUGGAAUAUCCCCUGGUUCUUAUCCAUCUGGCUAUUUCGUUGUAAGACCAUUUUAUCAACCGGAUGAUACUAUGCGAGCUCGUGGAACAGGCACCUACUUUCCUGACCCAACUUUGUGCAAGGACAGGCCACCUGCUGGACGAGGGGAAAGAGGAAGACAUAGUUUCCAUCCAAAUCACUAUCACAGGGCUCACCGCUAUCCCAGAAUGGAUAUGCCUUCAGAUAUGGUGCUGUCGGAGGAAUGGAGGCAAGUGCCAGUGCCACCAUUGCAGAUUUACAUUCCUGGUGCAAGUGAUCAUGGAAUUCCCUCCCCGUUGAAUAUACCAUUAUCAUCUCCAUCCCCCCGGGCUCCAAGGGAUGGUAUUCAUCGCAAUGGUUUUAUUCACCCACAAGACAAUAAACUUGAAUUUGGGACUUUGGGGGCAUUGCCUUUGGAAGUUAAGGGUACUUCUCAAGACCAUCCUAGCAAAUCUAGUUCUGCCGCCAACAGUCAAUCUUCUGCACCUGUAAGCCCUGUGUCUUCAGCAUUAAAUCCUGGAAAGGGUUCUAAUCGCAUGAGGAAUGGUGGGCCAUAUCAUCUUAAGGACAACGGAGAUUUCCCGCCACUCUCCAGCUGA
rnacentral:rRNA from 1 species